UCACAUCACUAGCUAGCUACAGUCUGAGGUAAUGUUAGCUGGUUUAACACAUCACUAGCUAGCUAAAGUGUGAGGUAAUGUUAGCUGGUUUAACACAUCACUAGCUAGCUAUAGUCUGAGGUAAUGUUAGCUGGUUUAACACAUCACUAGCUAGCUAAAGUGUGAGGUAAUGUUAGCUGGUUUAACACAUCACUAGCUAGCUAAAUCUGAGGUAAUGCUAGUGGGUGUAACACAUCUGAUAUCAGCGUGUGUUUAUUAAAGUAAAGAGUGAUAGAGAGAUAAGGAGAAGGAUAUCCGGAUGGUGUCACUUUGAUGAACCGAGAGCGCGAGCCUGCAGGAGAAAAUCCACCAGAGACAAAGUCUGGAUGCGUUCAGCUAUAAUGAAGUCCAAACAGGCUUGCAAGGAUUAAUGGCAAUAUUAACAGAAGGAACAGGAGGAACAGGAGGACGAGUGCCAACGCAGCCUGGCUUGCAUUCAAGAAAAGGAUUCGGCUUCGGCUUCUUCGCGGAGAAGAAGAAGCGGAGAAGAGGAAAUGCAGAAGACCUGCAGAAAAGCAAGACAGCUGACAUGUGGAACCGGGGAUAGGAGGUUUUUUUAUUUUUUUUAUUUUGAAGAAUAUCUGGCUUGGAGAGGAAAAAGAAGUGUUCACAAAUAAGCAUACGGAGGGGUGAAAGCGCGAGUUUGGGAAGAGGAUUUGGAACGCAGAUUGAAAAUAGAUGAAGAGGAAUGUCUACUGUAUGUGGGUGUCUUUCUGAGUGUGUGUAAUGGGGGGUGUUGCUGAGAAACUGUCCUAAAGUCAACAAAGUCUUUCCAGUAUUAGAGGGGAAUAAAUUCCAAGUACAAACCUUUGAAAUCACACUUGUAAGCUCUUAAUGAAACAUGCACGGAGCAAAUCAGCAAAAUACAGUACCACACACACACACACAAACACACAAUCAAAAUAAAUACAAUCAGUAGCAACUCACAAGUCUACGGAUUCUUCAUGCCGGCAAUAAGACAGAAAGAACUCUUUUAUAAAAAAUGUUCUUAUAGGAAAAUAAAUUAUAGUAUUCCUGCGACUUGAGUUUUUUUUUUGCACUUUUUGUGUUUUUUUUAUUUAUUUUUAUUUUUUUGGUUGGUGAAAUCACAACCACAGGAUUUAUCCUCUAUUCUACCAGUGGUGAAGACACAUACGAAGAGGGAUUUGGCUGUAUGCGUGUUGUGAUGAUGAUGACACUACACGUUUGACAUGAAUCUAUCUAAAAUUUGUUAUUACUGUGCUUAUUUUGAAAAAAAAAUCCAGCUUCCACUGCACAUCUACAUAUAUCAUUUCUAAAUGUGUCUUCAAACUGUUUACAGUGUUUUUAUCGACAGCUCCAAUUCAGCAUUACGUCUGUUAUGGAUAGCCGGCAAGCAUGGCAGCGGGGCGGGGCCACAAAAGCGUGCCAAAUAUUCAGUGGCCAAUCAGAGUGGAGAUCCAAACCCUUUACUUUCCUGGAGAGAAAUAGAGCUACGUGUGGUGCGACUAUUACAGGAAGGUACUAGUGAUGUCACAACACUUUACCAACAAAGGAGGACUCAAUCAUCCAGCUCUUAAUCGGCUCCUUUUCAUAUGCUCUGUAUUUUUAUAAAAUACUGAAAAAUAAAUGCUGAAAAAGUUGUUGGUCUAUU